UUUAUUAGAGUAGUGAUAUGUAGACUAUACUACACCCUUUCAUGUGACAUUUUUUGUUAAUUAUAACGAGUUCAAUUUCAUCGAUUGACAAAAAUUGAGGGGCAACUUUCUCACCUUCAUCCUUCUCUCUCUCUUCUCUCUUUUCCUUUACCCUCUCUUCCGACUUUUUCUCCCUCUCCGGCUACAACCAUCGACCACACUCACCCACCACCGUCGCCCCGCUGUCCUCAAGCUCAAACCUCACCACCACUGUCACCCUAAUAUCUAAUCACCACAAUCACCAUCUCUUAGGCUCUCGUCUCGUCGUCACCACCAAUGUCGCUGCCACCCUCACCCUCAUGUCUCACCACCACCGUUGCCAUCCUCACCCUCAAAUCUCACAACCACAACCAUCGUCGCUCUGAGAUCUAACCACUGCCAUUGCCAUCUCUCAGAUCCAACUGUUGUUGUACACAUUUAGUCAAUUUCAUUUUAUAUUAUUCUUUGUUUGCCCCUCUCUUGUCCUACUACUUUAGUGCUUUUGCUUCAUCCUUUUCCCUCCUUUCUCGUUAGUGAUUGAAUGUGAGCAGAUUAGUGGUGCAAAAACAAUUAUUCAAGGUGUUCAAAAUGACAAAAUCAUAGGAUGGUAUAUGCAAAAAAUUUAAGUUCAGGGUGUGCAGCUGCACACCCUCAACUGUGAGUGGCUUCGUCCCUACCUCCAUCAACCCUUCGUUCCACCACCCUUCGUAAACCAUUGUCUUCAUCGUCAGGGAAUAAAGAGAUAAUACUCAGGGGGUUUAUGGUGAAGAGAGAUCAUGCUAGGGAGAGAGAAAGAUAAAUCAAACUAGGGAGAUGAAGAAAAGAGAACAAAGAGACAAGAGUUUAAGGAGACAAAGAGAAAAAUGUCUAAAACAAAACGUCACAUGGAGGUGUCUAUUGGGGGUACGAGAA
rnacentral:lncRNA from 1 species